CUUUGGGUUGUAAACCCCUUUUGUUAGGGAAGAAAAAAAUGACGGUACCUAACGAAUCAGCCUCGGCUAACUCCGUGCCAGCAGCCGCGGUAAUACGGAGGAGGCAAGCGUUAUCCGGAAUUAUUGGGCGUAAAGCGUCCGUAGGUGGCCCGGCAAGUCUGCUGUCAAAGACCACAGCUCAACUGUGGAAAGGCAGUGGAAACUGCAAGGCUAGAGUGCGGUAGGGGUAGAGGGAAUUCCCAGUGUAGCGGUGAAAUGCGUAGAGAUUGGGAAGAACACCGGUGGCGAAAGCGCUCUACUGGGCCGCAACUGACACUGAUGGACGAAAGCUAGGGGAGCGAAUGGGAUUAGAUACCCCAGUAGUCA
rnacentral:rRNA from 1 species